UACGAAGGGGGCUAGCGUUGCUCGGAAUCACUGGGCGUAAAGCGCACGUAGGCGGAUUGCUAAGUCAGGGGUGAAAUCCUGGAGCUCAACUCCAGAACUGCCUUUGAUACUGGCGGUCUCGAGUCCGGGAGAGGUGAGUGGAACUGCGAGUGUAGAGGUGAAAAUUCGUAGAUAUUCGCAAGAACACCAGUGGCGAAGGCGGCUCACUGGCCCGGUACUGACGCUGAGGUGCGAAAGCGUGGGGAGCAACAGGG
rnacentral:rRNA from 1 species